UCUGAAAAUAUCACUCAAUAA
rnacentral:piRNA from 1 species